UCUAAAGCCUUUCCAUACUGGUGCUCGAUGUUUUCAGUUUGGGGACACCAAAAUUAGUGUACCGCUAAAGACACGUGGUCGACACUUUGUUGACACGUUGUUGACACUUUGUUGACACGUGACCCAAUUACCGGCCUACCAAGUGCCUUUGGCGACCGCUAACAGCAACUGUGGAACAGUGCAGUGCCCUUUUUUGGAGCAACGUACGAGUAAUGCCCGUGGAUUAUGACCCCGCGACCCCAAUCUACGUGGCAUGGCGGUCCGCAAUUCGCUACUUCAUACUGACUGGCGUCCGGCAUCGUCCCGAAUUUGGCCACAAUCUGCUCUCGGGGCCCUAUAGGGCUCCCUGACCUGCUCCAUCUCCGCCAUCGUCAAUGUACUGCGCAUCCACGCAGGCCAGGACUGCACUUACAAUGUACUUACGGGAAGGAGUAUUUGCAAGAUGGAACCUGGGAACUGGAAGACGACGAAGAGGAAGCGUGGGAAUCCGGCGGCAAUGGCUGGGAUGUAAGUCCAACAUUGCCGGUGCUAGAGUUGCCACUGCUUGCUUAUAAGGGAAUCAUGUGUGUUGCCUUUUUGCCUUUUCCGACAUUCUCCUCCGACUGUACUCCCGAUCCCAGGACUGAACUUACGCCACGGAAAGGAGUGCUUCCAAGAUGGGAGACGAAGAAGAAGAAGCCGCUGAAUCCGGCGGCAAUGGCUGGGAUGCUGCGUUCUCGAGAGGAAGCGUUAUUUCUGCAUUCCAAGAAGGACGGCACAAUGUGUCGGACUGUCCGCGUCGCAUUGAACUGGUCCGAUGAGGCUGCUAUUGCACACACAGUGAUGGAACUCCCAUACGGGAACUCGGAAGUACUGCUACAGUACAGGUAUAUCACCCCGUGACGACCACAUCGAAGUCUGAAAUUGAAGUGUGAAGAUGCUUCAGCAGCCCCUUCAUAUUUUUCCAUUGCUUUUAUUGUGCUUCUACUGUGCAUGUGUGUAACUUGUGGGGUAUGCAUGUGAUGACAAUGUAUGCCGGUGACACGGUCAGA